UUAAGCGACUAAGCGUACACGGUGGAUGCCCUGGCAGUCAGAGGCGAUGAAGGACGUGCUAAUCUGCGAAAAGCGUCGGUAAGGUGAUAUGAACCGUUAUAACCGGCGAUGUCCGAAUGGGGAAACCCAGUGCAAUUCGUUGCACUAUCGUUAACUGAAUACAUAGGUUAACGAGGCGAACCGGGGGAACUGAAACAUCUAAGUACCCCGAGGAAAAGAAAUCAACCGAGAUUCCCCCAGUAGCGGCGAGCGAACGGGGAGCAGCCCAGAGUCUGAAUCAGCUUGUGUGUUAGUGGAACGGUCUGGAAAGUCCGACGGUACAGGGUGAUAGUCCCGUACACCAAAAUGCACAGGUUGUGAACUCGAAGAGUAGGGCGGGACACGUGGUAUCCUGUCUGAAUAUGGGGGGACCAUCCUCCAAGGCUAAAUACUCCUGACUGACCGAUAGUGAACCAGUACCGUGAGGGAAAGGCGAAAAGAACCCCGGCGAGGGGAGUGAAAAAGAACCUGAAACCGUGUACGUACAAGCAGUGGGAGCACCUUCGGGUGUGACUGCGUACCUUUUGUAUAAUGGGUCAGCGACUUAUAUUCUGUAGCAAGGUUAACCGUAUAGGGGAGCCGCAGGGAAACCGAGUCUUAACUGGGCGUUAAGUUGCAGGGUAUAGACCCGAAACCCGGUGAUCUAGCCAUGGGCAGGUUGAAGGUUGGGUAACACUAACUGGAGGACCGAACCGACUAAUGUUGAAAAAUUAGCGGAUGACUUGUGGCUGGGGGUGAAAGGCCAAUCAAACCGGGAGAUAGCUGGUUCUCCCCGAAAGCUAUUUAGGUAGCGCCUCGUGAACUCAUCUUCGGGGGUAGAGCACUGUUUCGGCUAGGGGGUCAUCCCGACUUACCAACCCGAUGCAAACUACGAAUACCGAAGAAUGUUAUCACGGGAGACACACGGCGGGUGCUAACGUCCGUCGUGAAGAGGGAAACAACCCAGACCGCCAGCUAAGGUCCCAAAGUCAUGGUUAAGUGGGAAACGAUGUGGGAAGGCACAGACAGCCAGGAUGUUGGCUUAGAAGCAGCCAUCAUUUAAAGAAAGCGUAAUAGCUCACUGGUCGAGUCGGCCUGCGCGGAAGAUGUAACGGGGCUAAACCAUGCACCGAAGCUGCGGCAGCGACACUAUGUGUUGUUGGGUAGGGGAGCGUUCUGUAAGCCUGCGAAGGUGUGCUGUGAGGCAUGCUGGAGGUAUCAGAAGUGCGAAUGCUGACAUAAGUAACGAUAAAGCGGGUGAAAAGCCCGCUCGCCGGAAGACCAAGGGUUCCUGUCCAACGUUAAUCGGGGCAGGGUGAGUCGACCCCUAAGGCGAGGCCGAAAGGCGUAGUCGAUGGGAAACAGGUUAAUAUUCCUGUACUUGGUGUUACUGCGAAGGGGGGACGGAGAAGGCUAUGUUAGCCGGGCGACGGUUGUCCCGGUUUAAGCAUGUAGGCUGGUUGUCCAGGCAAAUCCGGAUAAUCAAGGCUGAGGUGUGAUGACGAGGUACUACGGUGCUGAAGUAACAAAUGCCCUGCUUCCAGGAAAAGCCUCUAAGCAUCAGGUAACAUUAAAUCGUACCCCAAACCGACACAGGUGGUCAGGUAGAGAAUACCAAGGCGCUUGAGAGAACUCGGGUGAAGGAACUAGGCAAAAUGGUGCCGUAACUUCGGGAGAAGGCACGCUGGUGUGUAGGUGAAGUCCCUGCGGAUGGAGCUGAGACCAGUCGAAGAUACCAGCUGGCUGCAACUGUUUAUUAAAAACACAGCACUGUGCAAACACGAAAGUGGACGUAUACGGUGUGACGCCUGCCCGGUGCCGGAAGGUUAAUUGAUGGGGUUAUCCGUAAGGAGAAGCUCUUGAUCGAAGCCCCGGUAAACGGCGGCCGUAACUAUAACGGUCCUAAGGUAGCGAAAUUCCUUGUCGGGUAAGUUCCGACCUGCACGAAUGGCGUAAUGAUGGCCAGGCUGUCUCCACCCGAGACUCAGUGAAAUUGAACUCGCUGUGAAGAUGCAGUGUACCCGCGGCAAGACGGAAAGACCCCGUGAACCUUUACUAUAGCUUGACACUGAACAUUGAGCCUUGAUGUGUAGGAUAGGUGGGAGGCUUUGAAGCGUGGACGCCAGUCUGCGUGGAGCCAACCUUGAAAUACCACCCUUUAAUGUUUGAUGUUCUAACGUUGGCCCCUUACCGGGGUUGCGGACAGUGUCUGGUGGGUAGUUUGACUGGGGCGGUCUCCUCCCAAAGCGUAACGGAGGAGCACGAAGGUUAGCUAAUCCUGGUCGGACAUCAGGAGGUUAGUGCAAUGGCAUAAGCUAGCUUGACUGCGAGCGUGACGGCGCGAGCAGGUGCGAAAGCAGGUCAUAGUGAUCCGGUGGUUCUGAAUGGAAGGGCCAUCGCUCAACGGAUAAAAGGUACUCCGGGGAUAACAGGCUGAUACCGCCCAAGAGUUCAUAUCGACGGCGGUGUUUGGCACCUCGAUGUCGGCUCAUCACAUCCUGGGGCUGAAGUAGGUCCCAAGGGUAUGGCUGUUCGCCAUUUAAAGUGGUACGCGAGCUGGGUUUAGAACGUCGUGAGACAGUUCGGUCCCUAUCUGCCGUGGGCGCUGGAGAAUUGAGGGGGGCUGCUCCUAGUACGAGAGGACCGGAGUGGACGCAUCACUGGUGUUCGGGUUGUCAUGCCAAUGGCACUGCCCGGUAGCUAAAUGCGGAAGAGAUAAGUGCUGAAAGCAUCUAAGCACGAAACUUGCCCCGAGAUGAGUUCUCCCUGAGACUUUAAGUCUCCUGAAGGAACGUUAAAGACGAUGACGUUGAUAGGCCGGGUGUGUAAGCGCAGCGAUGCGUUGAGCUAACCGGUACUAAUGAACCGUGAGGCUUAACCUU
rnacentral:rRNA from 1 species